rnacentral:rRNA from 1 species
GUAAGGAAUAUUGGUCAAUGGGCGCAAGCCUGAACCAGCCAUGCCGCGUGCAGGAAGACGGCCCUAUGGGUUGUAAACUGCUUUUGUCAGGGAAUAAACCCCCGCUCGUGAGCGGGGCUGAAGGUACCUGAAGAAUAAGCAUCGGCUAACUCCGUGCCAGCAGCCGCGGUAAUACGGAGGAUGCAAGCGUUAUCCGGAUUCAUUGGGUUUAAAGGGUGCGCAGGCGGAUUGGUAAGUCAGGGGUGAAAUCCCACAGCUCAACUGUGGAACUGCCUUUGAUACUGUCAGUCUAGAGUAUAGUUGAAGUUGGCGGAAUGUGUCAUGUAGCGGUGAAAUGCUUAGAUAUGACACAGAACACCGAUCGCGAAGGCAGCUAGCUAAGCUAUAACUGACGCUCAUGCACGAAAGCGUGGGGAUCAAACAGGAUUAGAAACCCCUGUAGUCC